rnacentral:rRNA from 1 species
AUGAUCAUCCAUACGCUCGAUUCCAUGGGCCCUUUACAAGCUCUGAGCUGCAUGCUGCUACUUGCCUCACUGGCCAGCUCGGCAGCGCCGCCACCGUCCGGCUACCGCUCCACGCUCACCCACAUUGACUCCAAACUCGGCUUCACCAAGGCACAGCUGAUGCGCCGAGCCGUGCACAGAAGCCGCCUCCGAGCGGCCUCGAUGCUACCGGGCUAUUCCACAACGCUUUCCAGCUCGAACGCCGGGCCAAGGCUCCGCUCGGGCCAGGCCGAGUACCUUAUGGAGCUCGCCAUCGGGACGCCGCCGGUGCCGUUCGUCGCCCUCGCCGACACCGGCAGCGACCUCACAUGGACGCAGUGCCAGCCGUGCCUCUGCUUCUCGCAGGACACGCCCGUCUACGACCCGACCACCUCCUCCAGCUUCUCCCCCGUGCCCUGCUCCAGCGCUACGUGCCUGUCCAUAUGGAGCCGCAACUGCACCCCUACCGUGCUCUGCAGGUACCGCCAUGGGUACGAGGACGGCGCCUACUCGGCAGGUGGCUUGGGCACGGAGACGAUCACGUUCGGCUCUAGCGCGCUCGGCGAAGCACCGGCCGCCUCCGCCGGAGGCGUGGCGUUCGGCUGCGGCACAGACAACGGGGGCGACUCGUACAGCUCCACCGGGACGGUCGGCCUCGGCCGCCGGAGCCUGUCCCUCGUGGCGCAGCUAGGGGUCGGCAAGUUCAGCUACUGCCUCACCAACUUCUUCAACACCAGUCUGGGCAGCCCGUUCUUGUUCGGCUCCCUCGCGGAGCUGGCUGCCAGUGGUGGCGCCGCCGUGCAGUCGACGCCACUUGUGCAGAACCCGCAGGGUCGGUCGUGGUACUACGUCUCCCUCGAGGGCAUAUCGCUCGGUGACGCUCUCCUGCCGAUCCCGAACCAAACAUUCGCGCUGAACGCGGACGGCACCGGCGGGAUGAUCGUGGACUCCGGCACCAUCUUCACGCUCCUCGUGGAAAGUGCUUUUAGGGUGGUCGCCAACCACGUCGCCGAGCUGCUCAGCCAGCCAGCGAUCAACGCCACGAGCCUGGACAACCCUUGCUUCCCGGCUCCUGCCGGUGAGCGGCAGCUCCCGGCCAUGCCAGACAUGGUGCUGCACUUCGCCGGCGGUGCGGAUAUGACGCUGCAUAGGGACAACUACAUGUCCUUCGACAAAGAGGACUCGUCGUUCUGCUUGAACAUUGCUGGGACGACGUGGACUUCGAUUCUGGGCAAUUUCCAGCAGCAGAAUAUACAGAUGCUGUUUGACAUCACCGUAGGGCAAAUGUCAUUUGUCCCCACCGACUGUAGUAAACUUUGA